rnacentral:rRNA from 1 species
UGGCGAACGGGUGAGUAACACGUGGGUAAUCUGCCCUGCACUCUGGGAUAAGCCUGGGAAACUGGGUCUAAUACUGGAUAUGACCUUUCUCCUUAUGGGGUUUGGUGGAAAGUUUUUCGGUGUAGGAUGAGCCCGCGGCCUAUCAGCUUGUUGGUGGGGUGAUGGCCUACCAAGGCGACGACGGGUAGCCGGCCUGAGAGGGUGAUCGGCCGCAUUGGGACUGAGAUACGGCCCAG